GUGGCCUUGGGCUCUGGACCCAGGCUUAGGUAAGUGGGGGUGUGGAAAUGAGCCAUUCCAGUCCCAGUAGGAGCAAGGCAAGGACGAUGAGGAGGUGGGCCAUCCAAAGAAUCACCUUCUCCCACAGAUACCCACACAUGAGUGCCCAAACCUGUGACUGUGAUUCCAACAAGGCGCAGGAUAAGGAGAAAUCAGGCCACCCGUAGAGACCCACAACCGUGGAUUGUGUCAGCACACGCCCUGUGGCUGUCAGGAAAAUGUAUGCGGCUAAAGCACACCCAACUUCUAGGUCUGGCCUGCUUCCACGUGCCUGGCCCAGAUCUGCAUUUGGCGUGCUGGUGUGAGUAUAAGCUGCAGGUUCCCACUCGGCACAGCUCUGUGGGAGCAUCCUACCCUCGAGGCAAGCUCCUGUCUAGGAGACAAAACCAUGUCCCAGCGGUUCUCUGUGAAACACGGAGGUGCCGAGUCUCUGGCUCGCUCUGAUGGUAUACUGUGAACUUCUAGACAUGCGGCCACCGGAGACGUGUGUCCACCUGGAGCCCUGGACAUUUCUAAUGAGCAUAUGUCAGUUACUGGGCCCAGAGCCAGCUCCAUCCAUGCCGAGUGGGAGGAAGAUUGAGAGGCAGAUAUGGACCAACCUCCACUUUGGCAGGUGGAUAUAACAGGGUGACGGUUCUUCUACAACAAGGAUGAGAGGGGGUAGGGGGUGCAGCUGUCUUGUGUGAAGUCCACUCUUGGGAAUUCAGGGGCUGGAAGCUGUGUCCAGAGCAGGUAUGUAGUUUUAUUAAACGCAGAAUGAGAACAGGGCAGAGUCGGACAAUAUGAAUCCAGGCUACCCAGGUAAAUCAACAUUUCAGAUAAGCAGGAGAGACUUCAAGUCAAAGUGUGGCUUGGGUUUUCUUCAAGCUCUAUUUAAAUUUAACCACGCCAUCCUGACUGACUUCACAAGCAGACCUGAAAGAGGACUGUGCGAGUUCCAGCCACCGACCUUGCCAAGAGGUCAGAUGCAAACAGCCAAGUUCAGAGGAAGGGAAGCAGGGCAAGAAGCCAGGCUGGGAAUGGAGCUCAGAUGGAAGUGAGGGUGGGCCUGGCACGAGAGAUAUGGAACCAGGACAAACCGUCUGCAACAACUGCUUGGGUUACAGAGUCAGGCUCCCUGCCUAGGCCUGAGGUGACCUAAUGAAUCUGAACAAGAAUGUGACUGGGGUCACUGAGACGAUAUGGACACAGCCUAGGAAAAAGACAUACAGACACAGGACAGUCAUUCCUGUGAGUGCUGUGGUUCUGUCUGGCCUGCACUCUGGCUUAGGUGAACACAGAGCCUCGUCCUGCAGUCGGCCCUAGCCCCUCCACGCCUUCCUCCCAUCCAUCACUAUAGCACGCAAGUGUUUCCAACAGGAAAACAGUUGCAUAGUGCCAUUUGUGGUCUGGCCUCAGCCCUUAUUUCCUCUGAUAUCAAAAGGGCAAAAGUCUCAGAUAACAAUCCAGGAAAGCCUAGGCCCAGAGUCUCUACUCUUCCCUGAUGUUCUGCACCGCUGCUCCCUGGUGCUCCACACCGCUGCUCCCUGGUGCUCCACACCGCUGCUCCCUGGUGCCCCACGCCGCUGCUCCCUGGUGCCCCACGCCGCUGCUCCCUGGUGCUCCACACCGCUGCUCCCUGGUGCCCCACGCCGCUGCUCCCUGGUGCCCCACGCCGCUAUUCCCUGGUGCCCCACGCCGCUGUUCCCUGGUGCUCCACACCACUGCUCGCUGGUGCCCCACGCUGCUGCUCCCUGGUGCCCCACGCCGCUGCUCCCUGGUGCUCCACGCCGCUGCUCCUUGGUGCUCCAUCUGCUGCUCCCUGGUGUUCCACCACACUGCUGCUCCCUGGUGCUCCACACCGCUGCUCCCUGGUGCUCCACACCACUGGUUUUAUUCUGAUGUCUCUGCUGUUCCUUGUGCUGCUCAUGUUCCAGAAGUACCAUGGUUUGUAUCAGCAGUUCUAACGUGGUGCCGUUUAAAGGUGUGACUCCCAGUCUGACAGUAAUGAGAAGAAAUGUUGAAGUACGUUCUAGUGGGAAGAGGCUAGAACAAUGGCAAAGAGCCCUUGGAGAGGCAUUGGGACCCCAAGACCCCUAGUCUCCCACUCUCCUUUCACAUCCUGGCUGCUUAUGCCACCAAGUCCUCCCACCCAGAUCCUGGAUGUGAUAACUUCCUGCAAGUACCAAAGCAACAGGCCGAGAGAAAACCUCUGAAAAUAUAAACCCAAAUAAACCUUCCAUUGUCUCAGGUAUUUCGUCACAGUGACCUGAAGCUGACUGAUACAGCAGGUGCCUUUUCACACAGAUGCCUAGGGACACUCUUAACAGUGGUGGUAGGGCUUUGAGAUGAGUGUCCUGGCCGUUCCUCACCUACCCGUAGGCAACUGUCCUGUAUCCUGGAUAAAUCUGAAUGUGAAGCAAACAGAAACACUGCACACGUGUGCGUGAGUGCGCAGGAGAAACAGGGACAUUCAUUUCUCAUAGUGACCCCCUCCAUUUAUCAUUCCCUGGUUCCAGGUGACGAAAGUAAAAAUGGUGGCCCCAAAGGCUUGCUCACCUGCCCGAGGAAGCUACUUGGCCACCUCGGGGGUUGUUGACCAUAGCUAAUUACAGCAAAGCAACCUCAUUAAAGGUCAAGUGGACCACGGGAUCAGGUCCUCCACUCCCACCCCAUCCACACUUCAUUCCCUUCACCCCUACUGUGGACUAUUCAAGUUCUUCUCCCUUCCCUCCUUCCUGACUGCAGGUAGAUGUCUCCACAGGCAUGGAGAUAAUAUCUGAGGCCCAACUGAGCUCCUGGGGUCUCGGCAGGAGCCACAAGGGAGGUCCUGAGCUGCAAGGGAGGCCCAGGCUGCCAUAACUUCUUUGUCAGGGUAGUAUUAACUAGCUCUCUCGGAUUUGCUGAGAAUGUCAACCAGCGGCAUUUUGCCUAUAUUUGAAAUUCUAAGGACAAAGUGUCAUGCCCUUAAAUAGAUGAGAUAGCUGAGCAUACUGGGCUCAUGGAAGAAAUGCCAGGCUCCAGACCAGAAAAAAAUUCCUGAGAUGAAAAAAUUCACGCCAAUCUUCAUGCUGUGGGAUCCUGGGAUGCAUGUCCCCAGCAGUCCACCAGGUGGGAAAAUGCCAAUCGUAUUUCGUAUUGGAACAACGAUAUUUUUAGUAUUUAUUAAAUUUAGACUUCCCAAUCUCUCUGUUGCUAAACAUCUACACACAAACAAGAUGCGCCUUUGCUGGCCCAAAAUAAACAGAGCAAAUACUUUCCCAGAUUCCCAGCCAUGAGAGAAUGGACAGCUGCCACCAGGGUCCUGGCUGUCUUCUCACAUGGGGCAGAGUUGGGGUCAGGGUGCCCAUUAUGAACCAGACACAUCUAGACCACUAGUGCAAUGACGUCACUGCUAGUUACCCGCCUGCCCUUGGAAGGCCAGGGGAGCUCUCACAGGUCUGCUUUGGGGUGGAGACAAUCCUGCCAAGGUGACUGUCUUGAGUCCACGUGGGGUCUCUUACUGUCCUCUCCAUGAAUGGGUCAGUUUUCCAUGAUUGCUGGUGAGUGUCACUUCCUUCCAUGCCUGAACUCCAAGCUCUGCUCUCUAGGGCCAGGCAGACUUCACUAAUCGCUCUUCCACGUGAGAAAAGGCAAAAUAUUUGAAGGCACUAGUCACGUCACCCCAAGUAAAAUCGGG